rnacentral:rRNA from 1 species
CGCUAGCUACAGGCUUAACACAUGCAGGUCGAGGGGCAGCAUGGUCUUAGCUUGCUAAGGCCGAUGGCGACCGGCGCACGGGUGAGUAACACGUAUCCAACCUGCCGUCUACUCUUGGACAGCCUUCUGAAAGGAAGAUUAAUACAAGAUGGCAUCAUGAGUCCGCAUGUUCACAUGAUUAAAGGUAUUCCGGUAGACGAUGGGGAUGCGUUCCAUUAGAUAGUAGGCGGGGUAACGGCCCACCUAGUCUUCGAUGGAUAGGGGUUCUGAGAGGAAGGUCCCCCACAUUGGAACUGAGACACGGUCCAAACUCCUACGGGAGGCAGCAGUGAGGAAUAUUGGUCAAUGGGCGAGAGCCUGAACCAGCCAAGUAGCGUGAAGGAUGACUGCCCUAUGGGUUGUAAACUUCUUUUAUAAAGGAAUAAAGUCGGGUAUGGAUACCCGUUUGCAUGUACUUUAUGAAUAAGGAUCGGCUAACUCCGUGCCAGCAGCCGCGGUAAUACGGAGGAUCCGAGCGUUAUCCGGAUUUAUUGGGUUUAAAGGGAGCGUAGAUGGAUGUUUAAGUCAGUUGUGAAAGUUUGCGGCUCAACCGUAAAAUUGCAGUUGAUACUGGAUAUCUUGAGUGCAGUUGAGGCAGGCGGAAUUCGUGGUGUAGCGGUGAAAUGCUUAGAUAUCACGAAGAACUCCGAUUGCGAAGGCAGCCUGCUAAGCUGCAACUGACAUUGAGGCUCGAAAGUGUGGGUAUCAAACAGGAUUAGAUACCCUGGUAGUCCACACGGUAAACGAUGAAUACUCGCUGUUUGCGAUAUACAGCAAGCGGCCAAGCGAAAGCGUUAAGUAUUCCACCUGGGGAGUACGCCGGCAACGGUGAAACUCAAAGGAAUUGACGGGGGCCCGCACAAGCGGAGGAACAUGUGGUUUAAUUCGAUGAUACGCGAGGAACCUUACCCGGGCUUAAAUUGCAGAUGAAUUACGGUGAAAGCCGUAAGCCGCAAGGCAUCUGUGAAGGUGCUGCAUGGUUGUCGUCAGCUCGUGCCGUGAGGUGUCGGCUUAAGUGCCAUAACGAGCGCAACCCUUGUUGUCAGUUACUAACAGGUUCCGCUGAGGACUCUGACAAGACUGCCAUCGUAAGAUGUGAGGAAGGUGGGGAUGACGUCAAAUCAGCACGGCCCUUACGUCCGGGGCUACACACGUGUUACAAUGGGGGGGUACAGAGGGCCGCUACCACGCGAGUGGAUGCCAAUCCCCAAAACCUCUCUCAGUUCGGACUGGAGUCUGCAACCCGACUCCACGAAGCUGGAUUCGCUAGUAAUCGCGCAUCAGCCACGGCGCGGUGAAUACGUUCCCGGGCCUUGUACACACCGCCCGUCAAGCCAUGGGAGCCGGGGGUACCUGAAGUGCGUAACCGCGAGGAGCGCCCUAGGGUAAAACUGGUGACUGGGGC